AAUUUGAAAUCUGGCAGUCUUCGAUUGUCCGAGUUGUAAUCUAUAGAGGCGUUUUCCGUGCCGGACCGUGUCCAAGUCUCCUGGAAAGGAGUAUCAAAGAGGGUGAUAAUCCCGUACUUAACACGACCACCGGUGCUCUGUGAUACGUCUUCUACGAGUCGAGUUGUUUGGGAAUGCAGCUCAAAAUGGGUGGUGAAUUCCAUCUAAAGCUAAAUAUUGGCGAGAGACCGAUAGCGAACAAGUACCGUGAGGGAAAGAUGAAAAGCACUUUGGAAAGAGAGUUAAACAGUACGUGAAAUUGUUGAAAGGGAAACGAUUGAAGUCAGUCGUGUUCUUUGGAUUCAGCCAGUUCUGCUGGUCUACUUCCUUGGAACGGGUCAACAUCAGUUUUGUCCGGUGGAUAAAGGUAGUAGGAAUGUGACUUCUCCGGAAGUGUUAUAGCCUAUUAUCACAUACACUGGGUGAGACUGAGGACUGCAGCUCGCCUUUAUGGCCGGUCUUCGGACACGUUCGAGCUUAGGAUGUUGACAUAAUGGCUUUAAACGACCCGU
rnacentral:rRNA from 1 species